AUACAUUCCAGCAUGUCAUGGAAUGUUGACGCCCCAGAAUUUGUCCCUGGAAGAAGAUUUGUCCCGCAAACCACCCCUACAACCCCACCUAAUGAGUCUCCACCAAAGGAAGUUCAUCUGAGCUCCCGAUCACGUGACCCAUCACGUGACCCAUGUCACGUGUCACGUGUUACCAACGGUGAGCCGUCAUCUUCUUCAAGUAGCUCGGGUAUGGUUAGUUCUCUGAGGUACAGUGACGUCACUGCUUUACACUCUGACGGUGGGGAGGCUGCUGAUGUACAAUCUGAAGUUGUUGAAGGUGAACCAGGAAGUAGUGGUGAACUCUGUCCCUACUACCUUGAAACAGGCACAUGCUCAGAGGACGAGAUGUGUGUUAAUAUUCACGGGUUACUAUGUGAACACUGUAGCCGAUAUUGCUUGCCCCCCAACAACCCAAAACUUCAGAAGUGCCACGAAGAUAUCUGCGCAGAGAUAAAGUCGUACAAAAAAGCCGCUGAGGCCAGCAAGGAACUCACAUGUGCCAUUUGUUUUGAAGUUGUCCUUGAAAAGGAGGAUAAGAAACAAAGAAAAUUCGGGCUAUUAUCAGAAUGUUGGCAUACGUUCUGCAUCGAGUGCAUUAGGCGUUGGAGAGCGAGUCAGUCUAAAGAUCAGACCAAGAGGAACUGCCCAAUUUGCAGGAAGAUAAGCUACUUCAUCGUUCCUUCAGAGGUGUGGGUAGCAGACCCAGCAGAAAAAGACCGUCUAGUCCAGGGAUAUAAGGAGCAUCUCUCCACCAAGGACUGCAUGCACUUUAACAAAGGGAGAGAUCAUUGUCCGUUUGGUGCUAAUUGCUUUUACAAACAUGCUCUACCUGACGGGACUAUUGUGCCGGAUAACGUGGUGAAGAGAAGGGUGAACUCGCAGGGGGACCAAGUGGUUGUCUCGAUGCCGCUGAUAUCGGACUUCUUGGAGGAACUUUUAACCUACUCCGCAGCCAAUACCCACCAUCUUAACGCACUUCGGACUCUCUUCCAGGAGCUCAACAACCACCCUUAAAAGGGAUCGACUUUCAAACUCUUUUUUUUUUCCUGCAGUUUGAAUUAUAAGUGAUUGAGUAAUGAGUUAUUUGAUAUAAGCUGGAAGUAGCGCUGAUUUGAUAAAAACUUGGUGUGACGCGUGAUAGCGAGUCACGUGACAGCGAGUCACGUGAUAGCGAGUCACGUGACAGCGAGUCACCGAGUUUCGAACAAAGCUGAUUUGAGUAUACUGAUGAUAAAAAUCCGAGAAUUUUGUUUUGUUAAUAUUGCAUUUUGAGACGAGAAUAAUUUCGCAAUUUUCGAUCGACUGAUUUAUCUGAGAUUUACAGGACCGUACGGCGGAACUUUCGGAAAAGGCUGAAUCACAUAAAACUUAAAAUACUGCAAGAAAUCUCUCCAUAUGUUUACAGUAACAGGAGUAACCCUGUGUUAAACUGUUACAGUUGUCCUCGCGUAGGAGCUGAUAGUUUAACAACAAAAUAAACAAAACAUUGUAUGUACUAUGGAAGGUUCUAGAAGAAUGAGCGUUUAGGGUGAAUCACAUUCGAUUCAAUCUACAAAAAUUGUAAUCUGUGUGCCAUGUGAUUCCGCCGUAUUACCCACCGUUUUUGAAAAGUUCCGCUGUACUUCCUGUCAUAUACGAACCGUCUUUGUGUUGAUGAUUCCAUUUUUCUAGAUACUUCAGACGAUUCAUUUUAUAUUUUGAGGAACAUAAAGAGAAAUUUUGUCCAAUCUUGUUAUAGUAUGCAUUUGAGCCGAUCUAUCAGUAUCAGAAAAAAUAAGUGCAUUUAUACGAUAACUGAAUUAAAACUGGCGAUGAAAGUUAGUGCAAAACCGUAUGACCUUACUCUUUACGUUACCGAGCAAAACAAGUUAAAUUUAUUUACUUUUGCGUUAACUCGAUUAGCUACGUUGAAAUCUAACCAUGUUACUCUUAAGAUCAUGUUUAAGUAAUGGGUGAAAUAUCACACCCAGGGACAAGGGUAAAAUUUAUUACAUGUUACUACACCCAAUCUCCUUUUUCGUUAUCAACCCAGGCGAAAUUAUUUUCAUUUCUAAUUUAAAGAUGGUCAUUACAUAGCAUUUCUAUAGGCGUUAAAAAGUUAACCCCCACAACCACCGGACACGAGAUUAAUUAACCAAUUGCUUAAUUAAUUAUGGAAUAUGUUGACGGUUGAGUUUCAAAUGAAUAUGGCAAUCUGUUUUACUUUUACUUUAUAAUAAUAUAUGAAAUA